AUAGCACCCAUGUACAAUGAAUUCCUGGCCAAUAAACCAGAGCAAGCUUAUACGACACCUUGCCAGCAGUGUGAUGAUGGAUUUGUGCAACUUUACCAUCAUUACCUGAAGGCCAAGUGAGUAUCCAAUAUAUAAGACUAUGCGGUUUUUUGGCUAGCACAUAUUCAUUCGGCUACAAGGAAACAAUAGUUGCUGUCCAUGCUCAUUUGUUUUAAGUAAGCUAUACUGAUUUUGCAUUUUAGGGCCAACGUCCACUGGCGACAACAGAUGCGUCUUUGGAUUUGACACUCAAGAGAUAGAAACAUUUUCUAAACGUUGCCACUUUUGGCUUUGCUCCAUUAAAAGUAAUUCUAAGAGUUCCAAACUUUGGCGUCACUUGAUGUACCCUAGACACUGCCAGUGUGCGUUGGCCUUUAGAGUGAAUUAUGCAGUCCUAAAGUAAGAUGAAUGGACUCAUUUAAACAGUGAAUUUAAUAUGCAAACACUUUAUUGUUUCUAAUAAUCUGUACACUCCCUGCAAGGCGUGGUACAAACUGUAUGUGAUAUGUUAAUUACAUAUAUAUUUUUUGCUGAUACAGGUGUUCUGAAAACUUUUAUAUGAGAUCUUCGGAAACAGAUGUUCAUCAAUCAUGUCAGGACUGUGGACACAAUUUUAAACAACUAGCAAAGAUUCUACAGAUUCCCACAGAAAAUAGGCCUAUACAUGAAAGAACUAAAGCCAAAACAUCAUUUGAAGACACUAAUGACUCAUGCAGCGAAACAGAACUCAGGGAAGAAUUGAACCAACUCAAGCAAAAGGAGUUUCCAAAAGCCCUGAAAUCCAUAACCUCUCAGAAAAACAGCCUGGAGGGAAAGACCCUGAAGGUGAAAAUGCAGUGGACAUUUGAUAUUGCAAAACGGGACACAACAAAAAAACAAGAGGAGCUACAACAUAUUUUCCCAGAUAAAACACCAGGUCAUCUGCAGCUUGCGUUCAGCAAUCUCCAGACAGCUCUGUACAACUGCAGUGAAUCUCACCAUCGCAGGAUGAUUCAGGUAAUAUCCAUUCACAUGGAUGAAAACUGUCACUGUUGGCACAUCUUGACCAAGAUUAUUUCUGAUGAAUUUACCUUCUGUGCCCACUUGGAGGCAGUAGGGACCAGUUAUUUUCAUAUGACUUGGAUAAGACAGCAAGAUGGGUGAAACUAUCUUUUAUAAUUCUGCAAUGACUGUCAGACUACAACAAUGUCAUUUUGUGCAUUAUUGCAUUUUGUGCAUUAUAACUUGUAUCUAUGCCAAAUGUUUUCUACAAUUUAAUAGUAACUAUUUCUAAUCCACAGGAGUUUAUUAAAGAUGAGCAGAAAGACGUCUCUGCUCUGCUGGUCAAGUGGUACAGGCUGAGCUGUUUGAUGGUUCUGCACAACCCACCACUGCUGCCGAAGUGGGAUACAGAUGGUCUCCCUUGUAGUCUUGAUGUCCAGUGUGAAAAGGCACAUGAAGACACAGCAAGUGAAGAAAAGAAAGGCUGUCAUGUAGCUGUGAAAUAAUACUCAUCUUAAAAUGGAUGGAAUUAUUUUUUUUUUAUCAAUCUACACACAAUAUUCCACAAACAAACAGGUGUUUGGAGUUUCUUGUAAAUUUAUGUAAAUGAAUGCUUCCACAACUUCA